rnacentral:rRNA from 1 species
UACGGGAGGCAGCAGUGGGGAAUAUUGCACAAUGGGCGCAAGCCUGAUGCAGCCAUGCCGCGUGUAUGAAGAAGGCCUUCGGGUUGUAAAGUACUUUCAGUCGUGAGGAAGGUGUUAAGGUUAAUAACCUUAGCAAUUGACGUUAGCGACAGAAGAAGCACCGGCUAACUCCGUGCCAGCAGCCGCGGUAAUACGGAGGGUGCGAGCGUUAAUCGGAAUUACUGGGCGUAAAGGGCACGCAGGCGGUUAAUUAAGUUGGAUGUGAAAUCCCCGGGCUUAACCUGGGAAUGGCAUUCAAGACUGGUUAGCUAGAGUCUUGUAGAGGGGGUAGAAUUCCAUGUGUAGCGGUGAAAUGCGUAGAGAUGUGGAGGAAUACCGGUGGCGAAGGCGGCCCCUGGACAAAGACUGACGCUCAUGUGCGAAAGCUGGGGAGCAAACAGGGAUUAGGACUACCCUCGUGAACGCUGAACCGAAGGCAACAACGGAAGGGGU